CAGUAGGGUGCCAUCAAGAGGUGUAUUUGG
rnacentral:rRNA from 1 species